rnacentral:rRNA from 1 species
ACGCGCAGAACCUUACCAACCCUUGACAUGGCGAUCGCGGAACCAGAGAUGGUUCUUUCAGUUCGGCUGGAUCGCACACAGGUGCUGCAUGGCUGUCGUCAGCUCGUGUCGUGAGAUGUUCGGUUAAGUCCGGCAACGAGCGCAACCCACACUCUUAGUUGCCAUCAUUCAGUUGGGCACUCUAGGAGAACUGCCGGUGAUAAGCCGGAGGAAGGUGUGGAUGACGUCAAGUCCUCAUGGCCCUUACGGGUUGGGCUACACACGUGCUACAAUGGUGGUGACAAUGGGUUAAUCCCAAAAAGCCAUCUCAGUUCGGAUUGGGGUCUGCAACUCGACCCCAUGAAGUCGGAAUCGCUAGUAAUCGCGUAACAGCAUGACGCGGUGAAUACGUUCCCGGGCCUUGUACACACCGCCCGUCACACCAUGGGAAUUGGGUCUACCCGAAGGCGGUGCGCCAACCAGCAAUGGAGGCA